UACGUAGGGUGCGAGCGUUAAUCGGAAUUACUGGGCGUAAAGCGUGCGCAGGCGGCUUUGCAAGACAGAUGUGAAAUCCCCGGGCUUAACCUGGGAACUGCAUUUGUGACUGCAUGGCUGGAGUGCGGCAGAGGGGGAUGGAAUUCCGCGUGUAGCAGUGAAAUGCGUAGAGAUGCGGAGGAACACCGAUGGCGAAGGCAGCCCCCUGGGCUAACACUGACGCUCAGGCACGAAAGCGUGGGGAGCAAACAGG
rnacentral:rRNA from 1 species